ACUCCUACGGGAGGCAGCAGUGGGGAAUCUUGCGCAAUGGGCGAAAGCCUGACGCAGCCAUGCCGCGUGGAUGAUGAAGGUCUUAGGAUUGUAAAAUCCUUUCAGCGGGGACGAUAAUGACGGUACCCGCAGAAGAAGCCCCGGCUAACUUCGUGCCAGCAGCCGCGGUAAUACGUAGGUGGCAAGCGUUGUUCGGAAUUAUUGGGCGUAAAGGGCGCGUAGGCGGUGCAAUAAGUCAGGCGUGAAAGCCCCGGGCUCAACCCGGGAAUUGCGCUUGAUACUGUUGCGCUUGAAUCCAGGAGAGGAUGGCGGAAUUCCCAGUGUAGAGGUGAAAUGCGUAGAUAUCAGGAGGAACACCUGUGGUGUAGACAGCUUACUGGACCACUUCUGACGCUGAGACACGAAAGCGUGGGUAGCAAACAGGAUUAGAUACCCUGGUAGUCCACGCCCUAAACGAUGCAUACUUGGUGUGAGUCAUUCAUUUGAUUCGUGCCGGAGCUAACGCGUUAAGUAUGCCGCCUGGGGAGUACGGUCGCAAGGCUGAAACUUAAAGGAAUUGACG
rnacentral:rRNA from 1 species